rnacentral:misc_RNA from 1 species
AACUUUUGGCAAUGGAUCACUUGGCUCUCGCAUCGAUGAAGAACGCAGCGAAAUGCGAUAAGUAAUGGGAAUUGCAGAAUUCAGUGAAUCAUCGAAUCUUUGAACGCACCUUUCGCCUCUUGGUAUUCCGAGGGGCACGCCUGUUUGUGUAUCGUGAAAUUCUCAACCCGACUCCUGGUGUGAAAGGGGAGGAGGGCUUGGAAUUUGGAGGACUUUUGCCGGUCCCUUUGUUUGGGAUCGGCUCCUCUCGAAUGCAUUAGUGGAGCUUGCUCGACCUCUGCCCUCGGUGCGAUACUUCAUCGCCGCCGUGCGAGGGAGGAAAGGCGACGCUUCCAACGGUCUCGUCAGGCGACAACCAUCUGACACCCUUGAUCUCCAAUCAGCCGGGACUACCCGAUGAACUUCAGCAUAUCAAUAAGCGCAGGCU